rnacentral:rRNA from 1 species
UACGUAGGGGCCGAGCGUUGUCCGGAGUUAUUGGGCGUAAAGCGCGCGCAGGCGGCUCGUCAAGCCUGACGUGAAAGCCCCCGGCUCAACCGGGGAGGGUCGUCGGGGACUGGCGGGCUUGAGGUCGGCAGGGGUUGGUGGAAUUCCCGGUGUAGUGGUGAAAUGCGUAGAGAUCGGGAGGAACACCAGUGGCGAAGGCGACUACCUGGCCCAUUCUUGACGCUGAGGCGCGAAAGCUAGGGGAGCGAACGGG